UAAAAUACCGAAAACCGAAUUACCGAACCGAACCGGCUAUUUCGGUAUUUCGGUAUUCGGUAUUCGGUACUUGGGUCCGGUAUUCGGUACCGGAAUAUUAAAUUUCGGUAUUUCGGUUUCGGUUUCGGUAUUUAUUAAUUAUCCCGUUCGGUAUUCGGGAUUUACCGAAUACCGAAUUAUUUCUGUUGGGCUCCUAAAAAUUCCUUUUAAUUUUUAAACAUAAAGGGCUAUAGGCCCAUUCCUAUAAUUUAAUCCAGCCCAAUUGUCUUCAACAUACCCUAACCCUAACAGACUAACACAUUACACACUGUAUUCAUCUCAAUACUUCACUACUAUUGAAGUUCUCCUUCUGCCAUUCACGCCGCCUUCAGGCUUCAGCCCUUCAACUUCACUACUACAGUUUGCCCCAUGGAAUCCAUCAGAAGUGCUUAUAACUUCAGCUGAUUCUCGUAUCAGAAUUUUUGACGGAUCAGAUAUGAUCUAUAAGUUUAGAGGUUUCCGAAAUACAAGCAGCCAAAUUGCAGCUUCAUUUAGUUCGGACGAAAAGUAUGUGAUAAGUGCAAGUGAAGACUCUCAUUUUUAUAACCUCGUGAUAAGUAUGCAUCUUGAUGUAGACAAAAUAGAGCACAAGAACUGAGUUUGACAAAUAUUAAUCUUGUUGGAAUAUUUAUCCAAAUGUUUCCGACGUUUUCAACCAUGACAAAAUGUACAUUACAUUAACUUAUUGUUGAAAGUGGUUGUUGCCUACAUUCUAUCUUCAAUUGAUAGUUGUGGAGUAAAUGAA